rnacentral:lncRNA from 1 species
UCAUUUCCAUGGAACUCUCAAAACAAGAACCAUUAUCUAAACCACCACCUAUGGUGGUUAUGCUACCAUCACCAGGCAUGGGACAUCUUAUACCAAUGAUUGAAUUUGCCAAAAGAAUUAUUAUUCUUAAUCAAAAUCUUCAAAUCACCUUCUUCAUUCCCACCGAAGGUCCACCUUCAAAAGCUCAAAAAACAGUUCUUCAAUCUCUACCAAAGUUCAUUUCACAUACUUUCCUUCCACCAGUUUCCUUCUCAGACCUUCCACCAAACUCCGGGAUAGAGACAAUCAUCUCCCUCACUGUCCUCCGUUCUCUCCCUUCUCUCCGUCAAAACUUCAACACUCUCUCUGAAACUCAUACUAUCACUGCUGUUGUCGUCGACCUC